GUCGUCGUCGGACGGGACCUCGUGUUCUAGCGCCGUUUUGGCUGCUCGAUUGGUUGGUGGAGGAUUUGGGUCUGAAAUCCGGAUCAAGGAUGGGGAAAGGAGAUUGGGAUGGCUGGAAGAGUGGCCAGGUUCGAUGGUGGCUGUCGGGGUUAAGAGGGUGGUGCAGGUGGCAUUCACCGCUACCGGGCGCUAAGGCUCGACGGAGUUGGGGGCCGCGCGGCGGAUUGAAGCUGGGAUGGGAUGGGAUGGGAUCCGAUCUGAAUCGAUCGGUGGUGCCAAACCCAUUGCAGAUCUGUUAUCUGGCCAAUGGGCAUCGUCAUCUCCGGUCCGGCGCGUGGUAGCUUAUCCACGACAGUGCUGCUGCGGCGGUGAAGGCCGGAUCGCCGGAUGGUGGUGGGUGUGCGACGGUGGGAAUGCGGCUGGAACUCUUCCGGGCUUGGUGGGGCGUUUCCACAUCUUUGGUCGGGUCUUGGGCCUGGGUCAUGGUGUUGGGCCCAAUUAGGGCUUUAUUACUUUUAAUUUUCAGUUUGUUUAGUUUUUUAGUUGCAAUUUAUUUUUUGCUUUUAAUAAGUCCUGACUAUGUUUUGGGUUGGAAAUGUAGGCUUCGUCCCGGCCUGCACACCUUGCUUGCCAUGUCUGCUCUAGGUAGGAGCAUACUAGGAAAGCUGAUAGUAUUGGUUACUCAUGGCAACGAGUGAGGAUUAUCUUUCCGGUUUGUCACCACAAUUGUAAAGCGAAUGGAGUAACCCGUAGAACACUAUUCGCUAAAGGGUGCAUGUUAGAAUGCAUAUUCAUAGAUGAGACACCUGUUAUAAUUUCAUGUGGGUCUCUUGAGGCUUAUUGUAAUUUGGGGUUAAGGCACUAUGCUCCCCCGGGUGUAUUCUAUGGUUUCAGUAGUUGUUAAGGAGUGAGGACCACUGCACCAGCCAUUUCUUAAAAAAAAAAAAAAAAAAAAAAAAAAAAAAAAAAAAAAAAAAAAAAA